GACGAACGCUGGCGGCGUGCUUAACACAUGCAAGUCGAACGAAGAGCGAUGGAAGCUUGCUUCUAUCAAUCUUAGUGGCGAACGGGUGAGUAACGCGUAAUCAACCUGCCCUUCAGAGGGGGACAACAGUUGGAAACGACUGCUAAUACCGCAUACGAUCUAAUCUCGGCAUCGAGGAUAGAUGAAAGGUGGCCUCUACAUGUAAGCUAUCACUGAAGGAGGGGAUUGCGUCUGAUUAGCUAGUUGGAGGGGUAACGGCCCACCAAGGCGAUGAUCAGUAGCCGGUCUGAGAGGAUGAACGGCCAAAUUGGGACUGAGACACGGCCCAGACUCCUACGGGAGGCAGCAGUGGGGAAUCUUCCGCAAUGGACGAAAGUCUGACGGAGCAACGCCGCGUGAGUGAUGACGGCCGUCGGGUUGUAAAGCUCUGUUAAUCGGGACGAAAGGCCUUCUUGCGAAUAGUGAGAAGGAUUGACGGUACCGGAAGAGAAAGCCACGGCUAACUACGUG
rnacentral:rRNA from 1 species